AUGCGCCGAUGGAGCGGACGAAGUCUGAUUAGCUUGUUGGUGGGGUCACGGCCUACCAAGGCGAUGAUCAGUAGCGGGCCUGAGAGGGUGGCCCGNCACACUGGGACUGAGACACUGGCCAGACUCCUAACGGGAAGGUGGAGGCUGCAGUCGCGAAUCAUUCACAAUGGACGGAAGUCUGAUGAUGCCACGCCGCGUGCGGGAAGAAGGCCUUCGGGUUGUAAACCGCUGUCGAGAGGGGGGAAGUAUUGACUGCCCUCUGGAGGAAGCCCCGGCUAAACACGUGCCAGCAGCCGCGGUAAUACGUGUGGGGCAAGCGUUGUUCGGAAUCACUGGGCUUAAAGGGUGCGUAGGCGGCCUAUCAAGUCAGGGGUGAAAUCCCGUGGCCCAACCGUGGAAUUGCCUUUGAUACUGGUGGGCUUGAGUGUGCCAGGGGUGAGCGGAACGUGUGGUGUAGCGGUGAAAUGCGUAGAUAUCACACGGAAGGGCGGAGCCGAAGGGGGCUCACUGGCGGCACAACUGACGCUGAGGCACGAAAGCGUGGGGAGCAAACAGGAUUAGAUACCCCUGGUAGUCCACGCCGUAAACGAUGCUUACUAGAUAUGCGUUUUACGGAAUGUGCGUCCAAGGGAAUCUGCUAAGUAAGCCACGUGGAGAGUACGCCCGCAAGGGUGUAACUCAAAGGAAUUGACUGGGGUCCGCACAAGCGGUGGAGCAUGUGGUUUAAUUCGAUGAUACGCGAGGAACCUUACCUGGGCUCGAAUGAUAGCGCGCAACUUCUGAAAAGCGGUGUUCCUUCGGGACAGUUAUCAAGGUGCUGCAUGGUUGUCGUCAUCUCGUGCCGUGAUGUGUUGGGUUAAGUCCC
rnacentral:rRNA from 1 species